AGAGUGGGCACAUGAGGUAUACGAGUGAGACAAGCUUGCAGGGCACAGCAUCAGAAUACACUGCUGCUUGGUUUUUCUUCCCUAACCAAUUAAUUCAACUUCAAUCAUUAACGAUAGCAUUAAGUGCUUUGCACUAACAAACAUCACAGGGAAGUCUCACAGGGGCAGAGGGCUCAGCAUCCGACAGAAGCUUGGCAGGAUGAAGCCUCUAAGUGGCUGCAUUUCAGCUACCAUCCAGUUUAUUCAGCCCGCAAAACGUAUUCCAGAAACACACGCCUGCAGAUGUCUCGCGCACGCAUUGCCUUACUGAUCAUCAUAAAAAAACUGCCUAUGCUUUCAUUUCAUCCAUACCAGAUGGCGGCUGUGACACUGGGGUCUGUCUUAUUUCCAUGCCAUCCACAAAGACCUUGACAGAGGGAAGAAGAAAGAUAUCUGUCAGCUUCAGUGGGUAAAACCAAAAAAAAAGAAAAAAAGAAAAGAAAAAAGGAAAGAAAAAGAAAAAAGAGAGAUUGGCUCUAUGCCAAAGAGUACAGCCCUCCUGAAAGGAAAAGAAAAAGGCAGAAGCAACAGUUUCUUCAUAUUUUGAGAGAAAUAUGUGCAACUUCCUGGGACCUUUUUCCUUUUGUUUUCAUUUCGAGCAAGAGUAUGCGUUGGAGCUGUGCAGUAUCCUCUUUCCUUUCAGAUACAGCUGCACUCUUCUGGAUGAAGGUGGAGAUAUGUGAAUCUGUUCCCAUGCCAAAGUCAUUUGCUAAAUUGUCUCUUAUGCUUUAAAAGGGCUCAAAUUGGAAUUACAUGGCACUUGCACCUUCUGCUGUUCCAUACCCAUGGUGCCUAAAUGCUGACAGCAACGGCAUUCAUUGCCUUCUUGACAUUUCUUACCGUGUGAGGUGAACAAACUCGCCAGGAUGAGACACAUUUCUCAUUUUGUAUUCAACCACUCCACCAUUCUCCCUGUCCAAAAGCCAUGUGGGAGUUGGAUCAUGGCUUGUUCUAUCCACUCUGCUCCACUCUUACUUUUGAACAGAUCUGAAGAUUGUUGGAAGAGGUGGUGGAUGCCCUAUCCUUGAGGACACUCAAGGUCAAGCUUGAUGGAGUUCUGAGCACCCGAUCAAGCUGUAGGUGUCUCUACUCAUUGUAAGAGAGUUGGAUUAGAUGGUCUUAUAGGGGCCCCUUCCAACUCUCUUUCUAUGAGAGCUAGGAUGCCCUUCAUCAUUUUCUGGAGCAAGCUGGUUUUCACAUCUUGUUUUACUGCAUGAGACUGCUCCUCACAGGACAGCAAGCAAGCAAGCCUGGGAAGACUCAAACCUCUUUCAUUUAUAAUCAGAACA
rnacentral:lncRNA from 1 species